rnacentral:rRNA from 1 species
UACGUAGGGUGCAAGCGUUAAUCGGAAUUACUGGGCGUAAAGCGUGCGCAGGCGGUUCGGAAAGAAAGAUGUGAAAUCCCAGGGCUUAACCUUGGAACUGCAUUUUUAACUACCGGGCUAGAGUGUGUCAGAGGGAGGUGGAAUUCCGCGUGUAGCAGUGAAAUGCGUAGAUAUGCGGAGGAACACCGAUGGCGAAGGCAGCCUCCUGGGAUAGCUCAUGCACGAAAGCGUGGGGAGCAAACA